CUUCCUCUUCUAUCUCAACACUUGGAGAUUCAUCAUCAUAAAAAAUAAUAUCACUAUUGUUGCGAUGUUUCGAGUGAGACUCAUCAUUCUCCAUGUAACUAUUUGAUUGAUGAUCCAAACGAGAUGAGCGCCUUGGUUCCAAUAUGAAGUUACUCUUGGAUGAUCUCUGUCUCGAAAGGUGCUGCUGUUGCAAAAAUUUAAUAU
rnacentral:lncRNA from 1 species